CGGACCGGACCGGCCCGGUUCAGUCUUAAAUUCACCAUAAUAUACAAUGAAUAUACCAUAAUAUACCAUAAAUAUACCAUAAAUAUACCAUAAUAUACCGUGAAUAUACCAAUUAAUGGUAACACCGAAAUUCUUUUUCAGCGUGCAUCGGUGCAUCAUUGAUUCCCAAAAUAUGGAAUCCUUGUAAUACCACAUUUAUGGUAUUUAAACAUGCGAGGGACUUGACAAACGCAGACAAUGUUUCUUGGAGACUGCCAAAGUUUAAUUUAGUUGUCUUCAACAGUUCAACUUCCUAAGCAAUCACUUUUUUCAUUCUCAUGUUCCUCCACUAAAAAAUCUUAAUUGAGGCAUUUUUUGGGAAUUGUUGCUCAACCAUGCCAAGCAAUAUCGAG
rnacentral:lncRNA from 1 species